rnacentral:rRNA from 4 species
AGAGUUUGAUCCUGGCUCAGGAUGAACGCUGGCGGCGUGCCUAAUACAUGCAAGUCGAGCGAACGGACGAGAAGCUUGCUUCUCUGAUGUUAGCGGCGGACGGGUGAGUAACACGUGGAUAACCUACCUAUAAGACUGGGAUAACUUCGGGAAACCGGAGCUAAUACCGGAUAAUAUUUUGAACCGCAUGGUUCAAAAGUGAAAGACGGUCUUGCUGUCACUUAUAGAUGGAUCCGCGCUGCAUUAGCUAGUUGGUAAGGUAACGGCUUACCAAGGCAACGAUGCAUAGCCGACCUGAGAGGGUGAUCGGCCACACUGGAACUGAGACACGGUCCAGACUCCUACGGGAGGCAGCAGUAGGGAAUCUUCCGCAAUGGGCGAAAGCCUGACGGAGCAACGCCGCGUGAGUGAUGAAGGUCUUCGGAUCGUAAAACUCUGUUAUUAGGGAAGAACAUAUGUGUAAGUAACUGUGCACAUCUUGACGGUACCUAAUCAGAAAGCCACGGCUAACUACGUGCCAGCAGCCGCGGUAAUACGUAGGUGGCAAGCGUUAUCCGGAAUUAUUGGGCGUAAAGCGCGCGUAGGCGGUUUUUUAAGUCUGAUGUGAAAGCCCACGGCUCAACCGUGGAGGGUCAUUGGAAACUGGAAAACUUGAGUGCAGAAGAGGAAAGUGGAAUUCCAUGUGUAGCGGUGAAAUGCGCAGAGAUAUGGAGGAACACCAGUGGCGAAGGCGACUUUCUGGUCUGUAACUGACGCUGAUGUGCGAAAGCGUGGGGAUCAAACAGGAUUAGAUACCCUGGUAGUCCACGCCGUAAACGAUGAGUGCUAAGUGUUAGGGGGUUUCCGCCCCUUAGUGCUGCAGCUAACGCAUUAAGCACUCCGCCUGGGGAGUACGACCGCAAGGUUGAAACUCAAAGGAAUUGACGGGGACCCGCACAAGCGGUGGAGCAUGUGGUUUAAUUCGAAGCAACGCGAAGAACCUUACCAAAUCUUGACAUCCUUUGACAACUCUAGAGAUAGAGCCUUCCCCUUCGGGGGACAAAGUGACAGGUGGUGCAUGGUUGUCGUCAGCUCGUGUCGUGAGAUGUUGGGUUAAGUCCCGCAACGAGCGCAACCCUUAAGCU